ACCGCGGCGCCGGUUUGGUUCGCUUUUGAUGCAUUGGCGUUUGCUAACUGCGUGAGUCUAGAGCCAAAGCAACAAUUUUUCUUUUCGAACUUUAACCGGUGCGUAUAGCGAUGCAUCGAAUCAGGUGAGGCCUCAUUAGGACUCGGCUCUUGUGUGUUUUGCGUGUUUUGCAGUGAUGAACGACCUCUUUCUGAUCUCUUUCGUGACUCUACCGCGUCAUUUUGAGUGAUGAUUUAACACCGAGACUUGACAGACGUCAAAUGCGGGUACAAACUACCUCCUGAAUACUUCCUAGAAAGUGCGGCAUCUAGGGAAUGACUGAUGUGAAGAGGAAUUCUUUAGACAAGUCUGGUGGUACUGAGAGCUGUACGUGGCUGUCAUAUAAAUGAACCAGUCACUCAGUGUUGCUGUACUGUGUUUUACCUUUUGGAGUGUGUAGUUGCCGUGCCAUCAUGGUGUACCAAUGUAUCUGCAAAGGGGAAAUAGUUGAAGUUUCACAUGGAAAUUUUUGUCACAUGGAUAAACUUUAUUACCAUUUGAAUGACGUUGACUGGUGGUUGCCAAGGGAUACUCUACAUUGAAGUCUACCACAGUCAUUUAGAGAGACUUUCCCGAAAAAGACCUGCAUCAUUGAUGCAACAUAACUAUUUACAGAACGUCAUUCAGAUAGAAGUUUGCAAUCAGCUUCCUUCUCCAGACACAAACACCAC